AAGAAUAUAGGGGGGC
rnacentral:tRNA from 1 species